UAUGGCUAUAUCCUGUCGAAACACUUGUUCUUAUACGGUCACUGAAGUUGAGCGACGUCGAACCUAGUCAGUACCCAGAUGGGUGGCCGCUUGGGAAUACCACGUGCUGUAAA